CCCUCCCCCUCCUCUCUCGAUCCAAGCUGUGUCGCCCUUAUUGCGAGCAGCGGCGGCGGCGUCGUCGUCUCCGGCGGAGGAGUGGCUGAGGAAUUAAGCUCUCGGCUGCGGCAUCUAGGGUUCCGGCGGAGCUGCGACGACUGCGCCGUGUGGCUCGCCGAGAAUCCCCUCUAGCACGCCCAGCUCUCCCUCGACGUCACCGCUCUCUACAUCAGGUCCCCAUUCUUCCCUCGACGUCACCGAUCUUUCACUGCUUUUUACAGGAUUUACACUCAAGUAUGUAAACCAAAAAUCCUAAACCCUAAUUAAGCUCUGAAGAAACAAAAGAGAUAUUACUUGGACUGCUCUACUCGGCCAUACCUGAAGGCGCGCAAUACCCUAAUUAAGCACCACAGAAGUUUUACUAUUGGUUUUAUCCUCGGUUGAAAUUCUGUCGUUUAAUUCAUUCUUUUGAAGCAAAGAUCCCUAUGGCGAAAUCUAAAGAAAUUCGUAAGAUAAAAAUUCAUCCCCAGAAUCAAGACCAAUUGCAAAUGGAUGUGGAUUCUCAAACUGUGGAUCAACCUACAAAUUCUUCUCGGGAAACGAUUGGUGAAUUGCAAGAAGAGGAAAACGAACAAGCAGAACAGCUGGAGCUGCGGAAAUUGAAGUGGAAAGCAAGAGUUCGAAAUUUAAUUUGAACUUUAUGCUCGAAAUUUAAUUUUGAACAAGUAUUUUUUGUUAGAACUUAUGUU